AAGUUCCUGGCUUCUCCCAAGACCUUCAAGGACCCAACUGACCUCUGAAUCAGCUGUAAAGGAGGAAGAAACCGAUUGUCUAAGAAUGGACAGCGAUAUUGCAUCAAUUGGUCUCCUACUUCAAUUGAUUCCACCAUCAUCACAAGGCUGCAAGGGACCUGGAAAAAUGUCAUCCUGUCAAGCUGAAAAACAUCUUCAAAAAGGCACUAACAAGAACAGCUUGAUUGCAGAGAAGAGACCACACAGCCAUACCUGCUCGCUGAUGGGACCAACAAGGAAAAUCAUUCCUGGAUGAUACACAACUCAAAUCUACAGGUCAUAUUUGUUCAUGCCUAGGUAAAUCUGAUGUUGUUGUGUUUUAUCAAGUACUUUGUUUCUGUGCAACACUUAAUGAA